AACUGAUACUACCUGCGGGAACCUGCGGAAGGAUCAUUACAGGACUCGCAAGACUCCUACAACCCUGUGAACUUAACUAUAAGCACGUUGCUUCGGCGGGUGUCUCGGCGAGGGUUCUCCCUCCCCGGGGCGCUAAGCCCGCCGGCAGCCUACUAUACUCUGUCUCUUUGCGUUGGCAUCUCGAGUACAAACAAACAAGUUAAAACUUUCAGCAACGGAUCUCUAGAUCGGAAGAGCACA
rnacentral:misc_RNA from 1 species